rnacentral:lncRNA from 1 species
GUGUGUGUCCCAGUGUGUGCCUGUGUGUGUGUGUGUGUGUGUCAGUAUUUCUCAGUGUAUGUGGGUGUCAGUAUAUCUGUCAGUGUGUGGGUGUCAGUAUUUCUGUCAGUGUAUGUGUGUCAGUAUGUUGAUCAGUGUAUGUGUCUGUGUGUGUGUGUCAGUAUGUCGGUAUAUGUGUCUGUGUGUCAGUAUGUCUGUAUAUGUGCCUGUGUCAG